rnacentral:rRNA from 1 species
AUUGAACGCUGGCGGCAGGCCUAACACAUGCAAGUCGAGCGAGCGGCGGACGGGUGAGUAAUGUAUGGGGACUGCCCCAUAGAGGGGGAUAACUACUGGAAACGGUAGCUAAUACCGCAUACUAUCGGAUAACCCAUAUGGGAUUAGCUAGUAGGUGAGGUAAUGGCUCACCUAGGCGACGACCCCUAGCUGGUCUGAGAGGAUGAUCAGCCACACUGCGACGGAGACAAGGCGCAGCAUGCUACGGAGGCAGCAGUGGGGAUUAUUGCGCAAUGGGCGCAAGCCUGAUGCAGCCAAGCGGCGUGUAUGAAGAAGGCCCGAGGGUUGUAAAGUACUUUCAGUCGGGAGGCGUUACCGACAGAAGAAGCACCGGCUAACUCCGUGCCAGCCGCCGCGGUAAUAC